CUGGUGCAAUGAAACAAAAAUCAACCCUACAUUUGACUGGAGGCAAAGUUUUACUUAUUUUCAUCUUUAUACAAGGAGCCUUGACAAAUAAGGUCAAAAAAACAAAGUUUCCUGGAUCCCAUAUGUUGGCAUUUCAUGAUGAGGGAUUGAGGGGUUUUAAAUUUCAUGAGCCACUGGUGGAAAUGGAUCUGUCAGGAUUUGGAUCCGGUGGUGACACAGCUGUGGAGAAGCCAUUCGUCUCAGGAGAUGAAAGACUA